rnacentral:rRNA from 1 species
UACGAAGGGGGCUAGCGUUGCUCGGAAUGACUGGGCGUAAAGGGCGCGUAGGCGGAUGGCACAGUCAGAUGUGAAAUUCCCGGGCUUAACCUGGGGGCUGCAUUUGAUACGUGUGAUCUAGAGUGAGGAAGAGGGUCGUGGAAUUCCCAGUGUAGAGGCGAAAUUCGUAGAUAUUGGGAAGAACACCGGUGGCGAAGGCGGCGACCUGGUCCUUGACUGACGCUGAGGCGCGAAAGCGUGGGGAGCAAACAGG